rnacentral:rRNA from 1 species
CCUACGGGAGGCAGCAGUGGGGAAUAUUGGACAAUGGGGGAAACCCUGAUCCAGCGACGCCGCGUGAGUGAAGAAGUAUUUCGGUAUGUAAAGCUCUAUCAGCAGGGAAGAAAAUGACGGUACCUGACUAAGAAGCCCCGGCUAACUACGUGCCAGCAGCCGCGGUAAUACGUAGGGGGCAAGCGUUAUCCGGAUUUACUGGGUGUAAAGGGAGCGUAGACGGCGAUGCAAGUCUGAAGUGAAAGGCGGGGCCCAACCCCCGGACUGCUUUGGAAACUGUAUGGCUGGAGUGCAGGAGAGGGAAGUGGAAGUCAUAGUGUAGCGGUGAAAUGCGGAGAUAUUAGGAGGAACACCAGUGGCGAAGGCGGCUUACUGGACUGUAACUGACGUUGAGGCUCGAAAGCGUGGGGAGCAAACAGGAUUAGAUACCCGAGUAGUC